GCAGAUUUGCGUUGCGAAAACGCCAAAACUCGUGAAACGCGCGUCAGUGUACCGCGUCUGGCGCGUUGGACUCGCGAAAAAAAUCACGCGCAUCAGUUUUUGUGUUGCAUUUUGUGCAUACGCGUGUUUCGCCUCUACCGCUGGAGUUGGAAAAAUCUGAACUCCAGCGUCAAAUCGCGCCGCAACAACCAAUCAGGAGCCUGGUGACGUGGCUGUAACCUAGGUCAAAGGGGCAGAUCCAGCCAAAGCCCUUCAUUCUUCAAUGGAGGGAAGGCUAAUCAACGCUGUAGCAAACAACCGGAGCUGUACGACACCAGCUGCUUUCUGUACCGAGACAGGAAUAUAAAGGACCGAGCUUGGAGGAAGAUAUGUGAAGAGAUCGGGCAACCUGGUCAAAGUUCCAGAGCAAACGUCUAAACAGGGAUGCCCAGACCUCUGUGUAAACUGCUCCAGUAUGAGAUGACAGUGCAACCUUGGUAGAUGCCAGCUCCCACCACGAAUGAGGCUGACUUUCUGCCAACAAUGCACUCCAAACUCUCAGGUGAAUAAGGAGCAAAACAUUGGUGCAUGGAUCAGGACCUGAUGACACCAGACUCAUUAAAUUUACAUGGGUCCACAAACAUGAAGACUGUUUCUCCACCUCCCAGAGCAAAUGGAAGAAUAGACUAAGGCUGACCAGACCAGAAGGCAUCAAGAAAACAAGUCCACACUUUUCUACUGCAGAUUUAUUGGGAUGCUUGACCAUACUUUAAGAAGUUCUGCCCACUGUAAGUGUAAUUUAGCAUUUUUUCUGCUAUAAUUUUUGGAUUGGCAUUAUAUUAGGGUCAAUUG